UCAUUGAGGUUAGCUAAUUUUACCUGUUUUGGAAAGUCUUGACAAGCCACAUUUUCUUGUUCUAUUGGCAGAUAAUUUUGCUUAGUUCAAAUAAAAUAUCCCUCAUUUUUUUUUUUUUUUGGUUCGGCCCAAAUUGAGCCUAAUCAGUGCGGGCAGGUGUGUUCACCUGUAUAAAGCCCUCAGCCCCGCCCUCACUCUGGCAGUCACCAGUUCAAAGCCAUGGUGAGAGAGAGAGAGAGAGAGAGAGAGAGAGAGAGAGAGAGAGUGUUUGUCAUUUGUUUGUUGACUGAGUGCUUUUCACUGAGUAAAGAGAUUGAAUGCUUUGAGAGGAAGUUAAUGGCAAACUGUGACAGUGGACACAACAUUUGUUCUUUUUGUGACAACUUCAAAAAGUCUCAGAGGGAGAGCCCAAGGCAAUGUGGAGGAGACCUGGUUGUUUCAGCACGAGCUACUCAGCCCGCCGCACAUGUUCCACGGUCUGAAAUUCCACCAGUGGCUAAAAAUUUGCCUCAGGAGCUGAGCUGCGAACUGACUGACAUUACAACUCCAAGGUCGCGGGGGGCGCUGGAGCCUAUCUCAGCUACAAUCGGGCGGAAGGUGGGGUACACCCUGGACAAGUCGCCACCUCAUCGCAGGGCUGUGUGUGUGUAUAAGG